rnacentral:tRNA from 2 species
UGACCCGUAGUGUAAUUGGUAGCACCACUGAUUCUGGUUCAGUGGGUCUAGGUUCGAGUCCUGGCGGGUCAGCAA